rnacentral:rRNA from 2 species
UACGUAGGGUGCAAGCGUUGUCCGGAAUUACUGGGCGUAAAGAGCUCGUAGGCGGUUUGUCGCGUCGUCUGUGAAAACCAGCAGCUCAACUGUUGGCUUGCAGGCGAUACGGGCAGACUUGAGUAUUUCAGGGGAGACUGGAAUUCCUGGUGUAGCGGUGAAAUGCGCAGAUAUCAGGAGGAACACCGGUGGCGAAGGCGGGUCUCUGGGAAAUAACUGACGCUGAGGAGCGAAAGCGUGGGUAGCGAAC